UCACUGGAUUCGCUCCGCGAGAGGCUGAUGCAGAGUUUGGAGAAAAAGACCCCGGGCUGGAGAGAGACCGGAGGCAGGAAGGACACAGAACGCGGCUCCUACUGAAUACUAUAGAGCCCAGUGCUCCCUUAGUCCGCCUGGGAAAGUCCCACCCUAAAUCAGGCAAUCCCUGAAUUUAAAUGUCAGGACGUCCCUUGCUGGAAACAAGCGAGCCUUGAUUUCCUGAUGGACCCGGAGAGUCUCACAAGCACCGCCCCGCUCUCCUGCCAGAUAGUUUUGUGUCCAACGCUCUGACCCCCAGGCCAUGAAGAAGAAGGGGUGUCCUGCACUGAACCACCCAAGACACGCUCGAUCAGGCCAUAAGAUGGUGCUUAGGGACGGGAGAUCACUUCAUUCCUCCCUGGGGUAAAAGUGUCAGCAGGAUCCGGCCGCCCAGGCGCUGCACAGCACAUAGGAAGGGACCGUCUAGACCGAUAAUCACUCAAAUUACUAGGACUGCACCCGGAGACACAAUCCGCAGCCCCUGGGUCUGUGCAGUGACCAGCCAGUCCCUGCGAACUUUCCCCUCCAGCACCCGGGAAAAUGGGAUUUUUGCUCCUUUUACUUUUCGCUGCAGCAGCGUUGGAAGGUGUCCGGUCCCAGGUGCAGCUGGUGGAGUCCGGAGGGGAUGUGAAAAAGCCCGGAGACUCUCUCCGCCUCUCCUGCAAAGCCUCCGGCUUCACCUUCAGCGACUCCUACAUGCACUGGGUCCGACAGGCUCCCGGGAAGGGGGUGGAGUGGGUGGCGCGGAUCAGUUCCCAAAGUGGAACUGAACAGUUGUAUUCCCCGGCUGUGAAAGGCCGAUUCACUAUCUCCAGAGACAACCCCAACAACCUGCUUUAUCUGCAACUGACCGGCCUGAAGCCCGAGGACACCGCCCGCUAUUACUGUGCGGGAGACACAGUGAGGGGAAGCCGGGCUGAGCUCAGACAAAAACCUCCCGGCUUCACUGCAGGUUGAUUUUGCUCUAGGUGGCGUUCAUUGUCCGUACAAUGGAAUGAGGACAAAUAAAACAAACCAAGGGA